CGGACGGGUGAGUAACGCGUGAGGGAACCUGCCUCAGAGUGGGGGAUAACACACCGAAAGGUGUGCUAAUACCGCAUAACAUAUGGGAGGGGCAUCCCUUUCAUAUCAAAAAUUUAUUGCUCUGAGAUGGCCUCGCGUCCAAUUAGCUAGUUGGCGGGGUAACGGCCCACCAAGGCGACGAUUGGUAGCCGGACUGAGAGGUUGAACGGCCACAUUGGGACUGAGACACGGCCCAGACUCCUACGGAAGGCAGCAG
rnacentral:rRNA from 1 species